rnacentral:lncRNA from 1 species
CCACGUCCCUUUCUCAUUCCAGAAGUUCAGCUGAGCUUUGGAUAGUAACUGUCCCGCGUCCUGAUUGGGACCCAGCAGCCAAGUGAAGGCCAGAGGCCUCCGCCACAGGGAUCUGCGCGCUCUCCGUGGGCAGUCCCCGGACCCAGGGCGCGUCCACAGCGCCCACCCGCGGCCCCCAAACACCUCGAGAGCAGAUCUUAGGAGAUAACCAAGCACCGACCUGAGGUGCCCUGCAGCUCCCAGACCCUCAGCUAGAAACCUAGAACGUGGGAUCCAAUUCAAUGGUUCUCCUCAUGCAUACAUGCAUGUCUCCAUCCAUCCAUGCAUACAUGCAUACCAUACAAAUCCGCGGCCGCGGGCUGGGAGAGCUGCACCUCGCCCUUGCUUCGGGUUGAGAACGGGCGCCUCCUUUCCCGCUCUCCCUCCUCCCGCGCAGCCCUGGCCCCCUCCCGAAGGGAGAACAACAGCUCAAUUACGGAAAGGAGCGAAGGAAAGAAAUCCCAGGCUCGGAGGCGCCCGCUGCUGCUCCUCUGGUCCCCUUCCCUCACUCCCCGUCCCCACCCCCACCGUCCCCAGCUCGGGGAGGGCGGGGAUGCGGCGGUGCGAAGGGGUCCUGCCCUGCUCCGCCAGAACAAAGCCCACCGCGGGAGCCCGCGGCCGCGCACCGAGCCGGUGACAAAGGCGGGCGGGCGGCGCCGAGCUCCAAGUCGGCGCUCCUGCGGUGGAGCGGGAAGGAGGCCUGGAAGAAAAGCAAUGCUGAUUUGACUUCUGAAAGCCGCUGUGGGCGUUCAAACGACAGUUUGAAAGACCUUACAGGGCAGUGCUUAGGGGAAAGGAAGUAAUGGGACCCUCUUAAUUUUAUUACGCAAACUGUGAUCUAAAAGAAUAAAACAAAAUGCAGUCUAAGGAAGCGGAGCGUA